AGGGGAGUGCAGGAUCCUAGGCUGUGUCCCCAGCGCCCUGGGAUCCGGGGCUUGUGCUGCUGGAAUUGCGCUCCCAGGCCGCUCAGGCCCCU
rnacentral:pre_miRNA from 1 species